AUUGAACGCUGGCGGCAUGCUUUACACAUGCAAGUCGAACGGCCGCGCGGGCUUCUGCCUGGCGGCGCGUGGCGAACGGGUGAGUAAUACAUCGGAACGUACCCAGUAGAGGGGGAUAGCUCGACGAAAGCAGGAUUGAUCCCGCAUACGACCUGAUGGUGAAAGCGGUGGAUCUUCGGACCUCGCGCUUUUUGAGCGGCCGAUGGCAGAUUAGUUAGUUGGUGGGGUAAAGGCCUAACAAGGCGACGAUCUGUAGCUGGUCUGAGAGGACGACCAGCCACACUGGGACUGAGACACGGCCCAGACUCCUACGGGAGGCAGCAGUGGGGAAUUUUGGACAAUGGGCGAAAGCCUGAUCCAGCAAUGCCGCGUGUGUGAUGAAGGCCUUCGGGUUGUAAAGCACUUUUGGCGGGAACGAAAAGGACUGUGCCAAUACCACGGUUCGAUGACGGUACCCGAAGAAUAAGCACCGGCUAACUACGUG
rnacentral:rRNA from 1 species